GCCAGGUGUGGUGGCGCGUGCCUGUAGUCCCAGCUACUCAGGAGGCUGAGGCAGGAGGAUCGCUUGAGGCCAGGAGUUCUGGGCUGCAGUGCACUAUGUUGCCUGGGCGUCUGCGCUAAGUUCAGCAUCAAUAUGAUGACCUCCCGGGAGCAGGGAACCACCAGAUUGCCUAAGAAGGGGUAAACUGGCCAAGGUUGGAAACAGAGCAGGUCAAAACUCCCGUGCUGAUCAGUAGUGGGAUGGUGCCUGUGAAUAGCCACUGUACUCCAGCCUGGGCAACACAGCAAGACCCCAUCC
rnacentral:lncRNA from 1 species